rnacentral:rRNA from 1 species
ACGCACGCUAGCGGCGUGCUUAACACAUGCAAGUCGCACGGAAAGGCCCUGCUUUUGUGGGGUGCUCGAGUGGCGAACGGGUGAGUAACACGUGAGUAACCUGCCCUUGACUUUGGGAUAACUUCAGGAAACUGGGGCUAAUACCGGAUAGGAGCUCCUGCUGCAUGGUGGGGGUUGGAAAGUUUCGGCGGUUGGGGAUGGACUCGCGGCUUAUCAGCUUGUUGGUGGGGUAGUGGCUUACCAAGGCUUUGACGGGUAGCCGGCCUGAGAGGGUGACCGGCCACAUUGGGACUGAGAUACGGCCCAGACUCCUACGGGAGGCAGCAGUGGGGAAUAUUGCACAAUGGGCGGAAGCCUGAUGCAGCAACGCCGCGUGCGGGAUGACGGCCUUCGGGUUGUAAACCGCUUUCGCCUGUGACGAAGCGUGAGUGACGGUAAUGGGUAAAGAAGCACCGGCUAACUACGUG